UACAGAGGCCCCAAGCGUUACUGAGAAUCACUGGGUUUAAAGGGUGCGUAGGUGGCGCGUUAAGUCCGUUGUGAAAGCCCUGGGCUCAACCCAGGAACUGCUUCGGAUACUGGCGCGCUUGAGGCUAGUAGGGGUCACUGGAACUGACGGUGGAGCGGUGAAAUGCGUAGAUAUCGUCAGGAACGCCAAUGGUGAAGACAGGUGACUGGGCUAGUUCUGACACUGAGGCACGAAAGCGUGGGGAGCGAACGGGG
rnacentral:rRNA from 1 species